rnacentral:rRNA from 1 species
GACGAACGCUGGCGGCGUGCUUAACACAUGCAAGUCGAACGAGGUCCAGUCUGUAGCAAUACAGAGGACGACCUAGUGGCGAACGGGUGAGGAACACGUGAGAAACCUGUCCCGGACUCUGGGAUAACAGUUGGAAACGACUGCUAAUACCGGAUGUCGUCGGAGGCCAGCAUGGGUCACCGACGAAAGAAUUUCGGUCCGGGAGGGUCUCGCGGCCUAUCAGCUAGUUGGUGGGGUAACGGCCCACCAAGGCAUCGACGGGUAGCUGGUCUGAGAGGAUGAUCAGCCACACUGGGACUGAGACACGGCCCAGACUCCUACGGGAGGCAGCAGUGGGGAAUCUUGCGCAAUGGGCGAAAGCCUGACGCAGCAACGCCGCGUGCGGGAAGAAGGCCUUCGGGUUGUAAACCGCUUUCAGCAGGAACGAAAAUGACGGUACCUGCAGAAGAAGGUGCGGCCAACUACGUGCCAGCAGCCGCGGUAA